rnacentral:misc_RNA from 1 species
GAUUUUCGUUCUUCUAAUAUAUUAAUGAGAAGAUGUGAGGUGGCUGUUUGGGAGUGCAGUCCUUAUCUUCUUAUUUGCUAUUGGAAGUUUGAGUACUUUGAAGCUAGUGCGCAAUAAUCUUCUUCCUCUGAGAAAUUGCAAUUUAGCUAUAGUUUCUUCAGUUGAUUGAUAACAAAUUUGUCUCAUUUUUUUUUUUAAUUUUCAAUGUAGAGAGAGAGAGAGAGAGA